GCCCUGGUAGCUCAGCUACACUCUAAGCCUUCGGGCUUUAAGUGCUGAACGGCAGAGCGACUGACUGUUAAUCAGUAGGCCGCAGGUUCGAGUCCUGCCCAGGGCG
rnacentral:tRNA from 1 species